AGAGUUUGAUCCUGGCUCAGAAUCAACGCUGGCGGCGUGCCUAACACAUGCAAGUCGCACGAGAAAGUGGAGCAAUCCAUGAGUAAAGUGGCGCACGGGUGAGUAACACGUGAAUGAUCUACCUCCGAGUGGGGAAUAACUGAGAGAAAUCUUAGCUAAUACCGCAUAAUACCCACGGGUCAAAGCAGCAAUGCGCUUGGAGAGGAGUUCGCGGCCGAUUAGCUAGUUGGCGGGGUAAUGGCCCACCAAGGCGAUGAUCGGUAUCCGGCCUGAGAGGGCGCACGGACACACUGGAACUGAAACACGGUCCAGACUCCUACGGGAGGCAGCAGUGGGGAAUUUUGCGCAAUGGGGGAAACCCUGACGCAGCAACGCCGCGUGGAGGAUGAAAUCCCUUGGGAUGUAAACUCCUUUCGAUAGGGAAGAUAAUGACGGUACCUAUAGAAGAAGCCCCGGCUAACUUCGUGCCAGCAGCCGCGGUAAUACGAGGGGGGCAAGCGUUGUUCGGAAUUAUUGGGCGUAAAGGGUGCGUAGGCGGUUUUGUAAGUCUGAUGUGAAAUCUAUGGGCUCAACUCAUAGACUGCAUCGGAAACUGCAGGGCUUGAGUGUGGGAGAGGUGAGUGGAAUUCCUGGUGUAGCGGUGAAAUGCGUAGAUAUCAGGAGGAACACCUGUGGCGAAAGCGGCUCACUGGACCACAACUGACGCUGAUGCACGAAAGCUAGGGGAGCAAACAGGAUUAGAUACCCUGGUAGUCCUAGCCCUAAACGAUGACUGCUUGGUGUGACGGGUACCCAAUCCCGCCGUGCCGUAGCUAACGCGUUAAGCAGUCCGCCUGGGGAGUACGGUCGCAAGGCUGAAACUCAAAGGAUUGACGG
rnacentral:rRNA from 1 species